rnacentral:rRNA from 1 species
GUGGACGCCAGUCUGCGUGGAGCCGACCUUGAAAUACCACCCUUUAAUGUUUGAUGUUCUAACGUGGACCCGUUACCCGGGUUGCGGACAGUGUCUGGUGGGUAGUUUGACUGGGGCGGUCUCCUCCUAAAGAGUAACGGAGGAGCACGAAGGUUGGCUAAUCCUGGUCGGACAUCAGGAGGUUAGUGCAAUGGCAUAAGCCAGCUUGACUGCGAGCGUGACGGCGCGAGCAGGUGCGAAAGCAGGUCAUAGUGAUCCGGUGGUUCUGAAUGGAAGGGCCAUCGCUCAACGGAUAAAAGGUACUCCGGGGAUAACAGGCUGAUACCGCCCAAGAGUUCAUAUCGACGGCGGUGUUUGGCACCUCGAUGUCGGCUCAUCACAUCCUGGGGCUGAAGUAGGUCCCAAGGGUAUGGCUGUUCGCCAUUUAAAGUGGUACGCGAGCUGGGUUUAGAACGUCGUGAGACAGUUCGGUCCCUAUCUGCCGUGGGCGCUGGAGAACUGAGGGGGGCUGCUCCUAGUACGAGAGGACCGGAGUGGACGCAUCACUGGUGUUCGGGUUGUCAUGCCAAUGGCACUGCCCGGUAGCUAAAUGCGGAAGAGAUAAGUGCUGAAAGCAUCUAAGCACGAAACUUGCCCCGAGAUGAGUUCUCCCUGAGACUUAGAGUCUCCUGAAGGAACGUUGAAGACGACGACGUUGAUAGGCCGGGUGUGUAAGCGCAGCGAUGCGUUGAGCUAACCGGUACUAAUGAACCGUGAGG